UACCAGCACCCCGAGUGGUCGGGACGAUUAUUGGGCCUAAAGCAUCCGUAGCCGGUUCUGCAAGUCCUCCGUUAAAUCCAACUGCUUAACAGAUGGGCCGCGGAGGAUACUACAGAGCUAGGAGGCAGGAGAGGCAAGCGGUACUCAGUGGGUAGGGGUAAAAUCCGUUGAUCCAUUGAAGACCACCAGUGGCGAAGGCGGCUUGCCAGAAUGCGCUCGACGGUGAGGGAUGAAAGCUGGGGGAGCAAAGCCGGG
rnacentral:rRNA from 1 species